UCUGGUUUUACUGUGUUUAAGUAUCGGCUGAGGCGACUGGAAGGACAGCCGACAUUGACCACUAACCAGGUCCAAUUUGUUUAUGGGCGUGUUCCCCAAUCAAUUUCUGAAAUUAGAGGGUUGGUAUGUGAGGACAUUAGUGGGGGUGAAGAGUAUGUCCCUAUUCCAGCUACAAAUUUGGUUGAUGAUCCACCUGUUCCACCAACAGAUUUCACAUACUUCAAGUCUAUACAAGUUGCCCAGAACAUAAAGAUCCCAACUAAUGCCUCUGGCUGCAACUGCAAAGGAGCUUGUAUGGACCCUCAGACAUGUGCUUGUGCAAAGCUUAA
rnacentral:misc_RNA from 1 species